rnacentral:rRNA from 1 species
CAAGUCUGGUGCCAGCAGCCGCGGUAAUUCCAGCUCCAAUAGCGUAUAUUAAAGUUGUUGCAGUUAAAAAGCUCGUAGUUGAAUUUCGGGAUCAAUAUAUCGGUCGUGCCUCUGGUUCGUACUGGUAUCAUUGAUUUCUCCUUUCUGACGAACCAUGAUUUCAUUUAUUUGGUGUCAUGGGGAGUUAGGACUGUUACUUUGAAAAAAUUAGAGUGUUUAAAGCAGGCAUUAGCUUGAAUACAUUAGCAUGGAAUAAUGAAAUAGGACGUUUGACCCUAUUUUGUUGGUUUCUAGGAUCGACGUAAUGAUUAAUAGGGAUAGUUGGGGGCAUUAGUAUUCAAUUGUCAGAGGUGAAAUUCUUGGAUUUAUUGAAGACUAACUACUGCGAAAGCAUUUGCCAAGGAUGUUUUCAUUAAUCAAGAACGAAAGUUAGGGGAUCGAAGACGAUCAGAUACCGUCGUAGUCUUAACCAUAAACUAUGCCGACUAGGGAUCGGAUGAUGUUAAUUUUAUAAUGACUCAUUCGGCGCCUUA